AACGAACGCUGGCGGCAUGCCUAACACAUGCAAGUCGAACGAGACCUUCGGGUCUAGUGGCGCACGGGUGCGUAACGCGUGGGAACCUGCUCUUAGGUUCGGAAUAACUCCCCGAAAGGGGUGCUAAUACCGGAUAAUGUCUUCGGACCAAAGAUUUAUCGCCUUUGGAUGGGCCCGCGUUGGAUUAGCUAGUUGGUAGGGUAAAAGCCUACCAAGGCGACGAUCCAUAGCUGGUCUGAGAGGAUGAUCAGCCACACUGGGACUUAGACACGGCCCAGAGUCCUACGGGAGGCAGCAGUGGGGGAUAUUGGACAAUGGGCGAAAGCCUGAUCCAGCAAGGACGCGUGAGUGAUGAAGGCCUUAGGGUUGUAAAGCUCUUUUACCCGGGAUGAUAAUGACAGUACCGGGAGAAUAAGCUCCGGCUAACUCCGUG
rnacentral:rRNA from 1 species